GACAGAGGAUGCAAGCGUUAUCCGGAAUGAUUGGGCGUAAAGCGUCUGUAGGUGGCUUUUCAAGUCCGCCGUCAAAUCCCAGGGCUCAACCCUGGACAGGCGGUGGAAACUACCAAGCUGGAGUACGGUAGGGGCAGAGGGAAUUUCCGGUGGAGCGGUGAAAUGCGCAGAUAUCAGGAGGAACACCAAUUGCGAAGGCAGCUCGCUGGGACGUAACUGACGCUGAGACGCGAAAGCGUGGGGAGCAAACAG
rnacentral:rRNA from 1 species